rnacentral:rRNA from 1 species
AUUGAACGCUGGCGGCAGGCCUAACACAUGCCAGUCGAGCGGAUGAAGGGAGCUUGCUCCUGGAUUCAGCGGCGGACGGGUGAGUAAUGCCUAGGAAUCUGCCUGGUAGUGGGGGAUAACGUCCGGAAACGGGCGCUAAUACCGCAUACGUCCUGAGGGAGAAAGUGGGGGAUCUUCGGACCUCACGCUAUCAGAUGAGCCUAGGUCGGAUUAGCUAGUUGGUGGGGUAAAGGCCUACCAAGGCGACGAUCCGUAACUGGUCUGAGAGGAUGAUCAGUCACACUGGAACUGAGACACGGUCCAGACUCCUACGGGAGGCAGCAGUGGGGAAUAUUGGACAAUGGGCGAAGCCUGAUCCAGCCAUGCCGCGUGUGUGAAGAAGGUCUUCGGAUUGUAAAGCACUUUAAGUUGGGAGGAAGGGCAGUAAGUUAAUACCUUGCUGUCUUGACGUUACCAACAGAAUAAGCACCGGCUAACUUCGUG